ensembl:lncRNA
UAAUAUAGGUACGUAUUUUUUAAUAAUAUCAUAUUUUUCAAGUUACAUAUGAUGUCCAACAGCAUUAAUACAACAUUUAUAAUUUUUAUAGGUUCACCCGUGUCCCAGUCUUCCCUUGGCCAAAUGUGCUCUGUGGUUGUCAUCUUUGGACCAGAGCCCCUGGCCCAAAGCACUGUGCCGUACAGAGGAUAGGAUUUAAGAUGCAUACAUGAUUUCAUUCAAGUUUAAUGCAUUGAAGAGAAGGCUGUCUAAGAAAACAUAUAAAUCAUACAUUUUACUUACUUAUUUACAGUUUUAAAAGCCAAUGUUUUAUAUACAGAAAGGCAAUGAGUGAGGUAAGCAUUUCGCAGCUCCAUCCCAAAUGGAUUCCUGCUGCCUAUCUUGUAGAUUUCUUGUCAGGAUCUCAUCGUGCUCUUGAUUCCUGCUACGAAGCCAGUGGGAUGCUGAUAGGCUUACGCUGGAAUGGGAAUGAGGACGUAUCCACAGGCGACCACUGUUCCGUUCAUUGCGUUCACUUCAAUUUUGGUUCCAUUUAGCAAAUGUAGUCCUGCUAAAUAUGCAAACAGGACAUUUAAAUAAUCACACGCUCAUUCUUUACCAUCUCAUUCUCUUGCUCAUUAUCUCUUUCCCCUGUCUCUCCUCACCCCCAUCUUUCCCUCUCUCUCAUUUUCUGCAUAUGAAUGGUUUCCAGAUUCGUGUCAGAUUUGAUCUAUUCUACUUCCUUGGUAGAUUGAUGUUAAACUCUAUAUUUUCCACUUUCUACACACUUUCUACAUUCUAUUUUAUGAAAGGCCAAAGCCCUUGACCCUAACAGCUCAGUAUGAUUUUGACCACGAAACAUUUUAUGAAUCCCUCCCCUCACCCCUCUCCCUCCCCCCUCCCUCCCCUCUCUCAUCACUCUAUUUCCCUCCACACUUUCCCUCUAUCCCUCCUAAUGUCUCUCCCCCUCUUUCUCUUUUGAGGAGAGUAUCCUUCGCUGGCCCUGCCUCUUGUUUAAUCGGACACUUGUAUUUCCUGUGUGUGUCAUAUUCACUUAGAUCCACAUGUUUGAAGACAAUGGAUUGGAUGAGAAAGUGAUUAUUCAAAAUUACUCUCAUUGGGCGAUUAAUAAAAUGACAUGGCCCUCAGCCUUUUCUUUCCCCUGAUUAGGUCAGUGUUCAAUUCUACGGAGUUAUCAUCCCAAUUGUGCUUGCAUAAGAGUUAGACUGUUAGACUGUUUCAGAACACCUGUUAAGAAUUCAGAUGACAAGGUCACCUAAGCAUUUGCAUGAAUUAGGAUGUUAUGGUGAAUAUCAGAGCGAGAACACUCACUUUCUGCUGUCACCCAUUUUUUUCCCCGUUGAUUGGAACAAAUGGAAUACUUAGAACUACUGCUACUGGAAAUAUACAUAUUUCACUUGUGAAGCGCUUUUGAAAGAAUCUCAAAGCCUACUACAAUGAGAGCACAAGGUCUCUGAGGAGUUUCAUGAGUACAGGAGCUUUGGCGCUUGGAUUUUGGAUUUUGGACAACUUUUGUGCUUGUAUAGCUGAUGGAGGUGCCUCACAGCUGUCAGAAUCCUCAUAAGAGCCAAUCAUCAGGCGUCUUUUAAAUGGUGCUACGACUAUGACUCUCACUGAGGGCGGUCAUGUGGGCUGAAAAGCAGUGUCAUUGGUUUGAGCCCAGUAUGGGCCAGUUGAACACUGGAGGAAGAAGAACUCUAAGCAGAAUAAAAUCCUUUACAGUGGUGCCGUGACCCGGAUAAACAGUUGUGCUCGGCUUGAUGCCAGAGCAACUGUUGAGUAUGUUUGAGGCGGUGAAUGUAGCCCCUAGAGGCCAAAAUGUAAUCCUAGGACCACUGGCUCAAGCCCCACAUGGGACAAACCUUUGAGAAAGAGCAACUCGCUAAGCAGCGUGACAUCCUUUACAUUUGUGAUUAUCAACAACAAAAAAUCUAACAUUUAUCAGGAACAUUGUAAACCUCAGUUUUGUCCGUGUCUGUUCAAAACUUAAAUAGGUUGUGCUUCUCAAUGUUACACGUUACUGACAGGCAUGUUACUAGCAGGUCACAGGUCACAGGACAGUGCAUCAUUACAUUCAUCGAUAAAGAGGUACAGGCAACGAGCGGCAAAGGACGCAUCUGAACUAGCACCCCGUUUCCCCCAUGAGCCCUUAGUCAAAAAUAGUUCACUAUAAAGGGAAUAGGAUGCCAUUUCUGUUAUGCAAGCAACACUAAAUUAGCGAGUUAACUGAUGGCAGCAGCAACAACGUCCAAUUGCCAGACACACAGAUAGAUAGGAUAUAUUAAUUAUGGGUCGGUUUUGGGAUCAAUCCCAAUCUAAAUCCUGUCCGUUUAGAACACGGAACAUCAGUCGGUGAAGUGGCACACCGUUCUGUGCUCAGUGAAAAUGGGAUUGACCCCAAAAACAUUCCGACUGGUACGUUUAUAGGAGGGAGUGGAGGCAUGCGGCAUGGAUUGAACCGAGACCAGGAAGAAGAGAUCAGCAGAGGAAUGGACAGAGGAUGGGACAGUGUGAUCAGUUGGAGAGUGAGGAUUGUUAGUCCUCCGCUGGGCGAAACUCAUCUCGUUGUCCACUAAACGUUGCCACCUGUGUUGCCACCUGUGUUGUAGUUCAUAUCGGUGUGUUGUCGGUUUGAACCCUGAUGGAGGUUAUGUUUAAACACCACCCGGGACCUGCUCCUCUGAGGCCAAUGAUCUCACAUUACAAGUCACUUAAACAUUCAUCUGACCUUUGUCUCAUUCUCAGUAGCUCUUUGUCUCGUCUCCUCCUCAUUCUCAGUAGCUCUUUGUCUCGUCUCCUCCUCAUUCUCAGUAGCUCAGUAGUCUCUCUCUCUCUACCAUCUGAGUCUCUAUCUGUCUCUUUUUCUCUCUACCCUCCGAGUCUCUCUAUCUCUCUACCCUCUUGUGUCCCUACUCUCUGUCUCUCUCUCUACCCUCUUUAGUCUCUUCUCUCUGUCUCUCUCUCGCUACUCUCUGAGUCUUGUUUCUUUCUGUGUCUCUCUCUAAGGAUUUCUCUCUAUUUUCUGCUUGUUUCUUUCCUUGUUUAUUUUCUCUCUGUUUGUUUCACCUCAGUAUUUCUUUCUAUUUCCAUCCCUGUUCUCAUGACCCCUUCGUUUUUUCAUGUUCUUUUACUCGUUUAUUUCAGUGUUUAUUUGCUGUUUUACUUUUUUUAAUACAUUUUUCUUCCUUCACAAUUUUGAGAUGUAUAAUUAUGGACUUGCCGCAUCGCUGCCAAUCCCCAAAAUGUCUGGGAGAGUUGAAGUCCAAGACGGGCCCUGAGAAGGCACGUCUCACUGAGCCAAUUAUCUCCCAGAACUAACUUUACCUUUCUAAUCUUUUCUACCUCUCCUCUCAAUCAUUCUCUCCGCACAGUUUGUGGUGGGAAACUCGUCUUCCUCAUUCUCUCCUUCUCUGGUUGUUUUGUACUAAAGCAGAAAGCACCUUUCGGUCUGUCAGUAAAUAUCGGAGAGAGUGUCAGUUGUUUCCUGAUUACUACUGUUUUUCUUUUUAUGACCUGUCAGCCAGUCAGAAAACAGAUAACACAAACAAUAUGUGCAUAGCUUCUGACAGGCUUGGCAUUUUCUCCUUCUUCCACCCCCCCC